GUAUAUAUUUGCGCUGUUAUACGCUAUAACAUUAUCCAUUCUAUAACUUUGUAUAUAAGUUUAUUAAAAAAAUCAUAGCUAGGGCUUUCGACAUCAUUUUCAAACAUCGUAAUCAUCCCAAGCUACACAUAGUGCACAGGUGUGAAAGGUGGAUGGAUAUAUGAUUAAGGUGUGCACAUACCCCAAAAGGCCAGCUACAACCCUUCUCAACAUUCAUUUCAUUAAUGAUCCUUCCGCAGGUUCACCUACGGAAA
rnacentral:misc_RNA from 1 species